AAGAAGAAGAAAAAAAUGAAAUAAAUAAAAACCACAACAAAUAGGAAGAAAACGCAUCAUGAAAACAUGUUCAAGCUUGCUGGUAAUUAAACAUUUGGAAGAUUAAAACGGCCAGAAGGUGUAGCUAAAUCAUAGGAGGGCACAGAUCAAACAGUCCAGAGAAAUUAAAUUGAUGCCAGAGAACUCAAGUACCAAGGUUCUAAACCCAGGUCCGGUCCAACACUACCGAGCUAACACUUGGUGUCAUUCCUGCCAGCUACAACAUAAUGGUGCCAUGCCUCAGAUGGUGUGGCAGGAUUCCAGAGGAGCGCAUGCUGGACCGCCUUGUGACAUAGUGCCCCACCAGCUCCUCACUUUGCAUCGGGUGUACUUGAGUGAAUUGCUUGGAAUUCCAGACCUCUUUGUUUUAAGGUGACCAAGACUCCUGUAUAUUUCCUGACGGACUGUAAAAGCCAAUUGCAAAUUGAAACUACCUUCGGGUGGCCAAUUAACCCCUUAGGCGGGCUAUUCAAGUUCACAGAGUGUUCUCAGGAAACCAGGAUCGCAGGCUUUUUCAUAGUCACAGGAGCGCUUAAAGAAAUCAGAAGAGUUAGCAAGCACACAUUCCAGGGGAGUCUGUGGGGGAAGAAUUUCCUUGUUCCAUCCUGGAAGGCAGAAGGCAAUGAAAACACAAAACAAGAAACACAGAAACACGAACAGACAGAUAAAAAUUACACUACACCCGCGAGACCAAACCAACUCGGUACUGCAGAGCAGAACCGAAACAACAGCCAGACAACAGCUUCCUGUUCUGACC